ACGAGGGUUCAUGCGUGCGAGUGCUACUACUAACCACUAGAUUUUGUCCUAUAGAUACCAUUCCAUACAGUUCCAGAGAGUAGCCCUGGCAAAAAUGCAGGUAGGAUCAAGACAAUCUUAGGUUAGAUCGUUAUAGCAAGGAAAAGGUAAGGUAGAUAAAGGUUAAUAACGAGGAUUCAUGCGUGUGAGUGCUACUACUAACCACUAGUUUUUGUCCUAUAGAUACCAUUCCAUACAAUUCCAGAGAGUAGCCCUGGCAAAAAUGCAAGUAGGAUCAGGACAAUCUUAGGUUAGAUCGUUAUAGCAAGGAAAAGGUAAGGUAGAUAAAGUUUAAUAACGAGGGUUCAUGCGUGCGAGUGCUACUACUAACCACUAGAUUUUGUCCUAUAGAUACCAUUCCAUACAGUUCCAGAGAGUAGCCCUGGCAAAAAUGCAGGUAGGAUCAAGACAAUCUUAGGUUAGAUCGUUAUAGCAAGGAAAAGGUAAGGUAGAUAAAGGUUAAUAACGA